UAGGCCCGUGCAGCGCGGUCGGA
rnacentral:miRNA from 1 species